rnacentral:misc_RNA from 1 species
CGCACAUUGCGCCCCUUGGUAUUCCGGGGGGCAUGCCUGUUCGAGCGUCAUUUCAACCCUCAAGCUCUGCUUGGUCUUGGGCCGCGCCGGCAACGGCGGGCCUCAAAAACAGUGGCGGCGCCAUCGUGUCCCUCAGCGUAGUAAUUCGUCUCGCUGCUGGGCCCCGGUGGCCGCUGGCCAGCGACCCCCCAUUCUUCCACGGUUGACCUCGGAUCAGGUAGGGAUACCCGCUGAACUUAA